rnacentral:lncRNA from 1 species
AGUAUCAUUUGGACGGUUUCGUUUGGUCGGAUAGUGAUAACAUAUUUUAGGGGACAGAAAUGUAUUAUAUAAAUAGCUAUAUAACGUAGUUAGAUCUCUGUUUUCUUCUGCUGUAUUUUGUUGAUUGGUACUUGCUCGAUUAAUUUUCGUAUUGUAAACUGGAAAUUUCUACUUUCCAGGAUUAUCCAGUAACUUAACCAUAUAUAUUACUCUAAACUUCACAGUUUUAAUAUUUAUUGAAUAUAUUUAUUGUUAACCGGCGGUAACCGGAACACACCUUAAUCGCGAUUUAAACUUUCCCCAC